UGGGGAAUUUUGGACAAUGGGCGCAAGCCUGAUCCAGCAAUGCCGCGUGCAGGAUGAAGGCCUUCGGGUUGUAAACUUCUUUUAUUUGGGACGAAACACUCUUUAUCUAGAGAGCUUGCCGGUACCAGAUGAAUAAGCACCGGCUAACUCCGUGCCAGCAGCCGCGGUAAUACGGAGGGUGCAAGCGUUAAUCGGAAUUACUGGGCGUAAAGCGUGCGCAGGCGGUUUUGUAAGACAGGCGUGAAAUCCCCGGGCUCAACCUGGGAACUGCGUUUGUGACUGCAAGGCUAGAGGAUGGCAGAGGGGGGAGGAAUUCCACGUGUAGCAGUGAAAUGCGUAGAGAUGAGGAGGAGCACCGAUGGCGAAGGCAGCGCCCUGGGCCAAUACUGACGCUGAUGCACGAAAGCGUGGGUAGCAAACA
rnacentral:rRNA from 1 species